CAAAAAGUUUUUGAACACUGCUACACUGCCAGGCCAAAAAAAAAAGGUCACACAUUCUAAUAUUUUGUUGAAGAGCUUUUAGCUUUGAUUGUGGCUUUACACAUUCGUUGUGGAACUGUUUCGAUAAGCUUCUGCAAUGUCAAAAGAUUUAUUUUUCACCAAGAUCUUGCAGCAGCAUUGAUGAUGGUAGAAUCUGACCGCUGCACAAAGUCAUGUCCAGCACAUCCCAAAGAUUCUCAAUGGGGUUAAGGUCUGGACUCAUGUUGGACUAAUGAUGAUCUCAUACUGCCUGAACCGCUCUUUCACAAUUCCAGCCCCAUGAAUCCUGGCAUUGUCAUCUUGGAAUAUGCUCGUGCCAUCAGGGAAGAAAAAAACUUUAGCAUUUAACCAAAAGGUUAUUGGAUACUGCUAUAUUAGACAAAAGUAGUAACAUCCCAACAUUUUAGGCAAAUGUUGUUGUUGUUUUUUUUGGCAUUUAACCAAGGAUAGCAACCACUUUUUACACUCUUCAGACUUUUCCAAGCCAACAUAAAGCUUUCCCUUUCUUGUUUAAAUUGGAAAUGUAAUUUGUAAGUGGAUGUUCGGUUGUUGUGAGUUAAUGUUAGUUAGUGUGGGGGGUGUGCUGUGUUGUGGGUUUUUGAGAGUGAAGCAGUGAGUUAGCUGGGUUAAGUGGCUCGGUGUGAUGUGAAUUGGGAGUGGAUGCUCAGUGGUGUAAGUUAAUGUUAGUUAGUGUGGGGGGGUGUGCUGUGUUGUGGGUUUUUGGGAGUGAAGCAGUGAGUUAGCAGCUAGUUGGCUCGGUGUGAUGUGAUUUGGGAGUGGACCGAAGGCAGUCUCGUCUACUUGCCCGAGUCUCGCGAUGCCUUGGCUUGUCCUGCUGCUGCUGCUGUAAGAUGGCGAAGGCGUGCACGCUCGCUGUCUCUCAGGUUUCAAGAAGCUUUGAAGUUUGUCAAAAAAUCGCUUGGGCUUUGGUUGGUAAGUAUUAUUAGUAUUUUUUGAAUCUCCUAAAACUGCUAUACUGCUACAUUACAUGUGUACUUUUGCAGAUGACAAGGAAGCUGAUUUUCAGCCCAAGGCUAAUGUGGUCUUACUGAGUUGUGUUUGAGUGUUUGUUUUAUGCAAUGUUCUGACAUGUCUGCUAGAGAAGCCAGUUUGAAAUAAUGACCAAAAAAAGCUGUGUCAGAUGAAUGGAAAUAUUAUAGAGCUAAUUUCUUAACCAAUGGAAUUCUAUUAGGUGAAUGUUAACUUGGAUUAUACAGCAGUAGAAGAAAAGGCUCUUGUGUUUUUCUUAAAUUAAGUGAAUGUCUUGAAUAUACUGUAUAUAAUAUCCCUAUUUCUUCUCUUUCAAGGUUGUGAGCUGUGUGCUGCUGCAGUGCUGGGAACCGUGGGCUGCAGUGCUGGGAGAUGUGGGCUGAGGUAGUAGUUUGUAUAGUUUGGGAUCACACCAGAUCUGGGAGAUAACUAUACAGUCUACUGUCUUUCU
rnacentral:lncRNA from 1 species